GGGCAAUCGCGGACAGCUGGGCAACCCGCCGUUCGAGGAAAGUCCGGACUGCAGAGAGCAGGGAGUCCUUUUGAAAAGAAGGAUAUCGCGGACCAUACGCCGCGAGAAGGCCAGUGCAACAGAAAGCAAACCGCCUCCGGCUUCGGCUGAAGGUAAGGGUGAAAGGGUGGGGUAAGAGCCCACCGGGCGCGCAGCGAGAGCGGCGCCGCAUGGUAAACCCCUCCCGCAGCAAGACCAAAUAGGGGAUGAUGCCGCUGCUCGCGGCGCUAUCAGUCCCGGGUUCUGGUCGCAUAGACAGAUGAUUGCCGUUCCGCUUCGGCGGGAUACAGAAUCCGGCUUACAGC
rnacentral:RNase_P_RNA from 1 species